AACGAACGCUGGCGGCAGGCCUAACACAUGCAAGUCGAACGCUCCGCAAGGGGAGUGGCGCACGGGUGAGUAACACGUGGGAACCUACCUUCUGGUACGGAACAACCAAGGGGAACUCUGGCUGAUACCGUAUACGACCUCCGGGUGAAAGAUUGAUCGCCGGAAGAGGGGCCCGCGUCCGAUUAGGUAGUUGGUGAGGUAACGGCUCACCAAGCCUGCGAUCGGUAGCUGGUCUGAGAGGANGACCAGCCACACUGGGACUGAGACACGGCCCAGACUCCUACGGGAGGCAGCAGUGGGGAAUAUUGGACAAUGGGCGCAAGCCUGAUCCAGCCAUGCCGCGUGAGUGAUGAAGGCCUU
rnacentral:rRNA from 1 species